rnacentral:rRNA from 1 species
CAGUCGCCGCGGUAAGACAGAGGAUGCAAGCGUUGUCCGGAAUUAUUGGGCGUAAAGGGCUCGCAGGCGGUUUCUUAAGUCUGAUGUGAAAGCCCCCGGCUCAACCGGGGAGGGUCAUUGGAAACUGGGAAACUUGAGUGCAGAAGAGGAGAGUGGAAUUCCACGUGUAGCGGUGAAAUGCGUAGAGAUGUGGAGGAACACCAGUGGCGAAAGCACUCUGCUGGGCCGACACUGACACUGAGAGACGAAAGCUAGGGGAGCAAAUGGGAUUAGAUACCCCGGUAGUCCCUGUCUCUUAUAC